CAGUAGCCACGGUAAUACGUAGGGUGCAAGCGUUAAUCUGAAUUACUGGGCGUAAAGCGUGCGCAGGCUGUUCUAUAAGACAGAUGUGAAAUCCCCGGGCUCAACCUGGGAACUGCAUUUGUGACUGUAGAGCUGGAGUGCGGCAGAGGGGGAUGGAAUUCCGCGUGUAGCAGUGAAAUGCGUAGAUAUGCGGAGGAACACCGAUGGCGAAGGCAAUCCCCUGGGCCUGCACUGACGCUCAUGCACGAAAGCGUGGGGAGCAAACAGGAUUAGAUACCCGAGUAGUCCCUGUCUCUUAUAC
rnacentral:rRNA from 1 species